ACCCUCUAGGCAGGCUCUUUGGUCGGUCCCCAGGCAGCAAUGGAAAAGCGGAGAACCAGCGUUGGAGAGACGACCACGAAACGUUCUCGAUGAAGAAAUUGAGACCUAAGAAAGUAAAGAGCCAAGUUCAAGACCACAUAACUAACAAUCUCAGUUCUGCCCAAGUGAGCAUGCUCUCUACCUGGCUAACUCCUGCCCCAGCAGAGAAGGCGGUCUUCGGCGCUGGCUGCUCUCUGACAUGGCCCACAUGAUGCAUUCAACAGAGGACGUGCUCAAAAGAUAUACCGUACCCUAGAGUCAACUGUAGUCUGCAAGCCAGCAAUCGUCAGAAGGUCAGAGUUACUCAGAAGUGAGUAACUCGAAGCUAUGUCACAAAGCCUCCAUCAUUCACGUCACUGCAUCUCCUCACCCAGGCAUCUCAUCAUCUCACAUCAUCACGAGAGGAAGGCAAGCAACCAUGCUGUGAGUGGCCUUAUGGAGUAGUCCAUGAACUAGAGCAUCCAGCUACCAGCCAUCAAGGAACUGAGGCCAGCCAACAGCAAGCUGGAAACAUCCUCCAGCCCUCACUGAGCCCAUGAGACUACAGAUUCAGGUGAUAGUUCGCACCCUCAUGAGACCUCUUGAGACCUUGAGCCAGAACCAUUCCGCUAAGCUGCUCCUGGAUUCCUGACCUGAAGAACCAUUGGGAGAUAAUGUUUGUUGCUUCAAGUUUCUGAGGCUUGGGGGUGAUUUUUUUUUUUUUUUUUAAAUGCUGCAGUAGAUAAUGAGCACU